rnacentral:rRNA from 1 species
GACGAACGCUGGCGGCGUGCUUAACACAUGCAAGUCGAACGGUGAAGCUCCAGCUUGCUGGAGUGGCUCAGUGGCGAACGGGUGAGUAACACGUGAGCAACCUGCCCCUGACUCUGGAAUAAGCGCUGGAAACGGCGUCUAAUACUGGAUACGAGAAGGGUCCGCAUGGGCACUUUCUGGAAAGUUUUUCGGUUGGGGAUGGGCUCGCGGCCUAUCAGCUUGUUGGUGAGGUAAUGGCUCACCAAGGCGACGACGGGUAGCCGGCCUGAGAGGGCGACCGGCCACACUGGGACUGAGAGACGGCGCAGACUGCUACGGUGGGCAGCAGGGGGGAAUAUUGCACAAUGGGCGAAAGCCUGAUGCAGCGACGCCGCGUGAGUGAUGACGGCCUGCGGGUUGUAAACCUCUGUCAGCAGGGAAGAAGCGAAAGUGACGGUACCUGCAGAAGAAGCACCGGCUAACUACGUG